AUACGGAUUCCCUAGUAGCGGCGAGCGAAGCGGGAAGAGCUCAAAUUUAUAAUCUGGCACCUUCGGUGUCCGAGUUGUAAUCUCUAGAAAUGUUUUCCGCGUUGGACCGCACACAAGUCUGUUGGAAUACAGCGGCAUAGUGGUGAGACCCCCGUAUAUGGUGCGGACGCCCAGCGCUUUGUGAUACAUUUUCGAAGAGUCGAGUUGUUUGGGAAUGCAGCUCAAAUUGGGUGGUAAAUUCCAUCUAAAGCUAAAUAUUGGCGAGAGACCGAUAGCGAACAAGUACCGUGAGGGAAAGAUGAAAAGCACUUUGGAAAGAGAGUUAACAGUACGUGAAAUUGUUGGAAGGGAAACGCUUGAAGUCAGACUUGCUUGCCGAGCAAUCGGUUUGCAGGCCAGCAUCAGUUUUCCGGGAUGGAUAAUGGUAGAGAGAAGGUAGCAGUUUCGGCUGUGUUAUAGCUCUCUGCUGGAUACAUCUUGGGGGACUGAGGAACGCAGUGUGCCUUUUGGCGGGGGUUUCGACCUCUUCACACUUAGGAUGCUGGUGGAAUGGCUUUAAACGACCCGUCUAAAAACCCGGGACCC
rnacentral:rRNA from 1 species